rnacentral:tRNA from 1 species
AGGGUAAUAGUUAAUUAUAACAUUUAAUUUGCAAUUAAAAAGUAUUGUCUGACAAUUUAUCUUU